CAGGGAAGAAGCGAAAGUGACGGUACCUGCAGAAGAAGCGCCGGCUAACUACGUGCCAGCAGCCGCGGUAAUACGUAGGGCGCAAGCGUUGUCCGGAAUUAUUGGGCGUAAAGAGCUCGUAGGCGGCUUGUCACGUCGGGUGUGAAAGCCCGGGGCUUAACCCCGGGUCUGCAUUCGAUACGGGCUAGCUAGAGUGUGGUAGGAGAGAUCGGAAUUCCUGGUGUAGCGGUGAAAUGCGCAGAUAUCAGGAGGAACACCGGUGGCGAAGGCGGAUCUCUGGGCCAUUACUGACGCUGAGGAGCGAAAGCGUGGGGAGCGAACAGGAUUAGAUACCCUGGUAGUCCACGCCGUAAACGGUGGGAACUAGGUGUUGGCGACAUUCCACGUCGUCGGUGCCGCAGCUAACGCAUUAAGUUCCCCGCCUGGGGAGUACGGCCGCAAGGCUAAAACUCAAAGGAAUUGACGGGGGCCCGCACAAGCAGCGGAGCAUGUGGCUUAAUUCGACGCAACGCGAAGAACCUUACCAAGGCUUGACAUACACCGGAAACGUUCAGAGAUGGGCGCCCCCUUGUGGUCGGUGUACAGGUGGUGCAUGGCUGUCGUCAGCUCGUGUCGUGAGA
rnacentral:rRNA from 1 species